AUUGAACGCUGGCGGCAGGCCUAACACAUGCAAGUCGAGCGGAGCGGCGGACGGGUGAGUAAUGCCUAGGAAUCUGCCUGGUAGUGGGGGAUAACGUCCGGAAACGGGCGCUAAUAACGCAUACUAACAGAUGAGCCUAGGGCGGAUUAGCCAGUUGGUGGGGUCAAGGCCUACCAAGGCGACGAUCCGUAGCUGGUCUGCGAGGAUGAUCAGCCACCCUGUGACUGAUAAACGGUCCAGACUCCAACGGGAGGCAGCAGUGGGGAAGAUUGGACAAUGGGCGAAAGCCUGAUCCAGCCAUGCCGCUUGGUUGAAGAAGGUCUUCGGAUUGUUAAGCACUUUAAGUUGGGAGGCGUUACCAACAGAAUAAGCACCGGCUAACGUCGUGCCAGCAGCCGCGGUAAUAC
rnacentral:rRNA from 1 species